UGGGGAAUUUUGGACAAUGGGCGAAAGCCUGAUCCAGCAAUGCCGCGUGUGUGAAGAAGGCCUUCGGGUUGUAAAGCACUUUUGUCCGGAAAGAAAUGGCUCUGGUUAAUACCUGGGGUCGAUGACGGUACCGGAAGAAUAAGGACCGGCUAACUACGUGCCAGCAGCCGCGGUAAUACGUAGGGUCCAAGCGUUAAUCGGAAUUACUGGGCGUAAAGCGUGCGCAGGCGGUUGUGCAAGACCGAUGUGAAAUCCCCGAGCUUAACUUGGGAAUUGCAUUGGUGACUGCACGGCUAGAGUGUGUCAGAGGGGGGUAGAAUUCCACGUGUAGCAGUGAAAUGCGUAGAGAUGUGGAGGAAUACCGAUGGCGAAGGCAGCCCCCUGGGAUAACACUGACGCUCAUGCACGAAAGCGUGGGGAGCAAACAGGAUUAGAUACCCUGGUAGUCCACGCCCUAAACGAUGUCAACUAGUUGUUGGGGAUUCAUUUCCUUAGUAACGUAGCUAACGCGUGAAGUUGGACCGCCUGGGGAGUACGGUCGCAAGAUUAAAAGCUCAAAUGAAUUGACGGGGUCAUAGCUG
rnacentral:rRNA from 1 species